CCUACGGGUGGCAGCAGUUGGGAAUAUUGGACAAUGGGGGGAACCCUGAUGCAGCGACGCCGCGUGAGUGAAGAAGUAUUUCGGUAUGUAAAGCUCUAUCAGCAGGGAAGAAAAUGACGGUACCUGACUAAGAAGCCCCGGCUAACUACGUGCCAGCAGCCGCGGUCAUACGGAGGAUGCGAGCGUUAUUCGGAUUCAUUGGGUGAAAGGGGUGCGCAGGCGGGAGAGCAAGUCAGAGGUAAAAUUGAGGGGCUAAACCUAUUAGAGCAUUUGAAACUGGUUUUCUUGAGUGAGCGAGAAGUAUGUGGAAUGCGUGGUGUAGGGGUGAAAUGCAUAGAUAUCAAGCAGAACACCGAUUGCGAAGGCAACCUACUGGAGCUCAACUGACGCUCAUGCACGAAAGUGUGGGUAUCGAACAGGAUUAGAUACCCCUGUAGUC
rnacentral:rRNA from 1 species